rnacentral:lncRNA from 12 species
CAGAGAGAGAAAUUUCAGUGAGGGAUAGAGGUUCAAUAAUAGGUUUGUUACUAGAUUCAGUUCCAAACUCAAAUAUCUGUUUUUAGUCAUCUUCAUGCCCAAAUGAAUCUGUAGGUGUGCAAGCUGAAUGUCUGAGCUGCUGUUGUAGACAACACCAUUGGAGUCAAGAAUAGGUUUCAGCUUAGUCUAAGGUUGACAACUUCCUCAGGACAACUGAUUCAUUUUCCAGUCCCUAUGAGCUCAAGCUCCCACACUGGUAGGACAUUGACUAGACUUGCUGCAUUACGUGUAGUAAGCAGCAGCCAUGUCUACGGACGCCGAGAUGGCAAUCUUCAUAAUUUUGAUAAGAUGAUUCUCUUGGUAU